UCGAGUAGUUUUGUUAAAGUGUACAGGGCAGCAUUCAUGUCCUUCCUACUCCCAGCGGAGUUCUCUUGGCGUGCGGACCGCUGCAGAGACGAGAGAGUAGGCCUUGCAUGCAUAGCGACCAGUGACGGGUUCUUGUGAACACGGCAUUGAACCUUCAGGUUUAAAAAAGGAAGUAAUUUCUUGACCCGCUUAGCGACUACCAGUUUUUUUAGGAUUCCUGGAUCAUUGAGGUCGUUAGUUAAUUCGGACAAAUUUCACGCAUGAAACACGUGGAAGAAAUCGUUUCAAAUUGUACGGAACACCGAAGUUUAAAUAGUAUAUGUAAUAUAGGUACUCUGCGCGAAAGGCUUGACUUCCCUCCCCAUUGGACAGGCCAAACACUUGGCCCUAAGCUGGGUACCAUAGAUGACCUUCUGAGAGAACUGCUUGUACCUGCAUGCAAUUGUCUGUCAGUCACUCUCCGCUUCGUGUGUUGUGACGUUGUGUGUUCUGGGUUGUUCUUCUAGUGCCCGAGCGCAACACGGAACUUCGAUCAGCUUUUAAAAACAAGACAGAAGGUGGUAAUGAAGAGAGUGGGUAGAGCGAACAGUUUCAGGAUUCAGGUGUUUGAGAUCAGGAUACUGAGGAGAACAGCUGGACCAAAGAGAGAAAGCAGCAAAAGAAGGAAACAAGAGAAGGAAAAAUUACAUCAGUGCUUUUGAACUUGUUAAUUUACUUCGUUCAGCAAAACCAACGUGGCGACCGGGCGAAAUCUGAGAUGUGACAGCAUUUGACGGUUUUUAAUAUAAGGUUACGUGUAAUAACGCAAUGCAAAAGAGGGAAUGCACAACUUUAAUUAGGGUAAUAUCAGUGAACAGGCUUUUAUUUAUGAGUUUCUACAGUGAGAUUAUUUUAGAACUUCCCUCAUGAACCGCACAGGCUGAAGAGUUGGACACUUCUGCCGUCAUGAUGGCCCGCGGAGAUUCGGACAGGUACCGGGACCCUCAAACCGAACCAUCUGUACAAGGCCUACAUGUUAUGCCGGUAAAUUGAUAACCUAUCGCUUUAAGAUGGGAGUAUAACCAUGUCUUAGAACGCAGUAUAUAUUAAAUCUAAUUGUCGUAUUCUUAAAAUAGCUGACCUAGAGCUAUUCUUGUACUGUUGAUCCAGUAUAUUUAAACAGUCUUGAUGGAUUUCUUAUGAAGUCCUUGAAUUGGCCUUAGAUAAAUGAAAGCAUUAUUCCAACUUUGACAGCAGGAAACGUACGUAGUUGGUUAAUUAAUCAUAAUACCUUGUUAUUUUCAUUUUAUUGUGUUGACCUACAUACAAACGCGUAGUGAAUGACGUUUCUUAAGCUGAUUGAUCUAUUUAUUACAUUUUGUUUGCUGUUACAUUACAAACCAUUAACUUGAUUAACUCCGGAAGCUUCUCAAACGCAUCAGUCUUAAAAUAAAUGAUGAGUUUUGAGGCUUCACUGACCUUGAUGAAAUCUUUACUACAACUCAAAGCUAACCUAACCUAACUGUCUGCUAAGACAGUGUUUUCAUUGAUGUCCCAAAAUAAUUCAAGGACUCUGAGCAAGUUGACAUAUGAAUAGAAAUUUAUAAGAAUUCUAAAAUUUUAUCAAAUCCAAUGUAAAAUAAUUCUGGAUUAGUAAAUCAGAACAAAUUUUAUAUGUUAUCUGAGUGGGA